rnacentral:rRNA from 1 species
ACUCAAAGGAAUAGACGGGGACCCGCACAAGCGGUGGAGCGUGUGGUUUAAUUCGACGCUAAGCGAAGAACCUUACCAGGGCUUGACAUCCCAGUCGUAUCCCGAUGAAAGUCGGGAGUCAGUCUGCUGGACUGGUGACAGGUGAUGCAUGGCCGUCGUCAGCUCGUGUCGUGAGAUGUUGGGUUAAGUCCCGCAACGAGCGCAACCCUUGUCGUAUGUUGGAUUUUUCAUACGAGACUGCCUGGGUUAACCAGGAGGAAGGUGGGGAUGACGUCAGGUCAGCAUGUCCCUUAUGCCCUGGGCGACACACGCGCUACAAUGGCCGAUACAAUGGGACGCGAAGGAGUGAUCCGGAGCUAAUCCCACCAAAGUCGGUCUCAGUUCGGAUUGGAGGCUGCAACUCGCCUCCAUGAAGCCGGAAUCGCUAGUAAACGCGGAUCAGCCAUGCCGCGUUGAAUACGUUCUCGGGUCUUGUACACACCGCCCGU